AGGCAAUAGAUCGAUUCUGUAGAGUCAGUGAGCACCUAACACUGCAACAAGAUCACGCAACUGAGCCACGACAAGCAAAUCCAAUUAACUAAUCCCAUAUCCAAUUGUCGAAGAUCUAAAGAGAGACUUGUGUUGUCGGUAGUUAAUUAAUUGUUUACUGCUACUUGUACCAUCUCUACUCUCUGCUACCCAUCCACCAAUCUAAUAUAACAGUACUAUGCCUCCUCCUCCUCCUUCUGGGUUGAGGGUUUCAGACAGAAGAGGGGAGCUUCUUUUUGCUAUCCUUUUUUUUUUUCUCUGCAUCUCUCUCUUUCCCAAAAACUGGUGUUUAUUACCGUUGCAGCGAGUUUUUUUCCUUCUUUUCCGGUUAUAGCAUUGCUGGGUGUUCUUCAUGUUCUUCAAAACUGGCAUGCAACAAAUUCAGAUUCAGCAUCUAUCAGUGAUUCUUGAAAUUGUACGUUGGAGGCUAUAUCAUAUAUUCCACCAGUCUCCUCCACAGUCGUCCGGCGCCACACCCCGGCCAAUUAAAUGCACACUCGCUAGCUAAUAAAGGAGUAAUUACCUUUGAUUGAUUAAUCAAGCUUUUUUAGGCAAGUCUCCUGGUCAUGUUUUCUAACUAAAAUUUGAGUUUAGAGUAAGUACUCCUUCAAUCAUUUAAUUUAGAGACGGCAUUCUUCACCCUUUUUCUAUUAUUUCUUGGUUAACUAACACCUGCUAGUCAAUUUAAAAAGUAUAAAAACACUGCAGAUCGAGAGACAAGUAAAGUUGUUGGCUUUUGAUAAAUAGGCAACAUGUCGUGCAGUGCUCAAAGAAAACAACUUGAAAAGCCUUAUGGAGAUAAGAUGGUUGCCGCUUCAGGGGUUUCUCUCCACCAAAAAUUACGGCUUAAUCAACUGAAAUUAACUCAUCGUCACUCGCUCUUGUAAGUACAUAUGUGUACGCCUAACUCUACUUUGAUUACAUCAACGUUGCCUGUCUAUGUGCCGUGAUUUUUUUGUUGUCUUUUAACUUUGCUGGUUAUGAAGAGUAGUUGAUGAUAAACAAUAGCUCUUUGCCCUUGUAAAUUAUAGUUUUUUAGAGCCUCUCAGGGCAAACAUAUGAUUAAGUUGAGUUUAAGCCUCUGAUGAGGAGAUUUUGGAACACGAUCAUGGAGAUUCUUGUUCCAUCAUCUCUCGUACAGGGUGACUGCCUUUGGGACAAUGUGUUCAACAAACGAAAGAUACAGGAACGGCCAAAGGUAGUAUUUUUAUAUGGUGUGGAUGCUAUCUGCUAGCAGGUGCAAGGUUGGCAACUGCAAUCUGAUAUAUAUAUGUGAAAAUACAAAAUAAUACAAGGUUACUUGUGGUUUGUAAACUUUUAGAUCCAAUGAUGUUUACUUGAAUUAACCUUGUUUGUUAUCGGAAAGUAUCUUUCAAGAAAAUAUUUUAUGUAUUUUAUGAAAUUUGGAAGUAAUUACAGAAUUUCGAAUAUUUCCUUUAUGGGUUUUGCAUUUAAGAGAACCACCCAUGAUAUUCGAGUAUUUGGGUAAGACUAUAUAUUAAGAUUGAAAUAAUAGGGGCCAAAAAGUUAU